AAUUUUUUCCGAAGCCUGGUCAACUGUCACCCCCGAUGUCUGGGUCCUGACCACUGUUCAGGGGUUUUCACAUCGAGUUGGUCAACACUCUGGGUCACAUUCCCCCUCCUCCCCCUAUUUCGCUCUGUGUGACCAACCGCGCCUUCAUAGACGUGGAACUAUUGGCCCUCCGCGCGAAAGGGGCACUUGAGCUAGCACCUAUAUCCCCUACAGGGUUCUCAGCUACAUUUUCCUAGUAGAAUGAGGAGCGG